rnacentral:rRNA from 1 species
GAUGAACGCUGACAGAAUGCUUAACACAUGCAAGUCGAUGGGGAAGUGGUGCUUGCACCAUGGUAACCAUGGCGGACGGGUGAGUAACGCGUAAGGAACUUGCCUGCGGGACUGGGAUAACAGCAGGAAACUGCUGAUAAUACCGGAUAAGGUCAUUAAGCUGCAUAGCUUAGUGAUGAAAGGAGACGCCUGCGGAGAGCCUUGCGUCCUAUUAGCUAGUUGGAGGGGUAACGGCCCACCAAGGCGAAGAUAGGUAGCCGGCCUGAGAGGGUGGACGGCCACAAGGGGACUGAGAUACGGCCCUUACUCCUACGGGAGGCAGCAGUGGGGAAUAUUGGACAAUGGGGGCAACCCUGAUCCAGCAAUUCUGUGUGCACGAAGACGGUUUUCGGAUUGUAAAGUGCUUUCAGCAGGGAAGAAGGAAGUGACGGUACCUGCAGAAGAGGCGACGGCUAAAUACGUG